CCCUUAGAUGUUCUGGGCCGCACGCGUGCUACACUGAGUGGAUCAGCGGGUCAGGUUGCGCGAAAGUGUUUCCUAAUCUUGAAAUCCGCUCGUGAUGGGGAUUGACGGUUGCAAUUUUCCGUCAUGAACGAGGAAUACCUUGUAAGCGCGGGUCAUCAUCCCGCGCUGAAUACGUCCCUGCCCUUUGUACACACCGCCCGUCGCUCCUACCGAUUGAGUGGUCCGGUGAGGCUUUGGGAUCUGAGCAAAGAGAGCGUUUCGCUCGUUUUGCCCGGAAAACUCAGUCGAACCUUAUCAUUUAGAGGAAGGAGAAGUCGGAACA
rnacentral:rRNA from 1 species